CCACGGGGCGAUGCCUCAGUAACGGCGAGUGAAGCGGCAAAAGCUCAAAUUUGAAAUCUAGCACCUUCGGUGUUUGAGUUGUAAUUUGAAGAUGGUAACCUUGGGUUUGGCUCUUGUCUAUGUUCCUUGGAACAGGACGUCAUAGAGGGUGAGAAUCCCGUCUGAUGAGAUGCCCAUUCCUAUGUAAGGUGCUAUCGAAGAGUCGAGUUGUUUGGGAAUGCAGCUCUAAGUGGGUGGUAAAUUCCAUCUAAAGCUAAAUAUUGGCGAGAGACCGAUAGCGAACAAGUACAGUGAUGGAAAGAUGAAAAGAACUUUGAAAAGAGAGUGAAAAAGUACGUGAAAUUGUUGAAAGGGAAGGGCAUUAGAUCAGACUUGGUGUUUUACGAUUAUCUUCUCUUCUUGAGUUGUGCACUCGUAUUUCACUGGGCCAGCAUCGAUUCGGAUGGCAAGAUAAUGGCAGUUGAAUGUGGCUUCACUUCGGUGGAGUGUUAUAGCUUCUGCUGAUAUUGCCUGUCUGGAUCGAGGGCUGCGUCUUUUGACUAGGAUGCUGGCGUAAUGAUCUAAUGCCGCCCGUCUUGAAACAACGGACCA
rnacentral:rRNA from 1 species